rnacentral:sRNA from 1 species
GGUGGGGAGGGUCAUCGGGGGGCAAAUCCAUGAUGGCCGACGCGGAGAUCGAUCGAUCACGCCGGCGCGCGCGCCGUCGCCCUCGCCGGCCGGAGAUCGCCGACGGGUAGCGUUGGUGAGAUGAGAUCGAUCGAUUCCAUGGUGAUGCCUCCUCCGCCACGCCGUCGCGUUGGUCUGUGUUCUUCUUCUUCUUCCUCCUCCUCUUGUUGCUUUUCCCCUGUGUCCUCCUGUUUGAUGUGGCGGGAAAGCUUCCAGUUCGGAGUUUCAACUGAAGAGGCUCCCCCAAUUGCUCUUCUCCCACCGUCUAAUAUAUCGUGAGAUUAGGUCUUGGUUAUUGUGGGAUCUCGUUUUACUAUUCCGCUGGGUUGUCUGAAUCGUUUAGAUACCUAGAUCCAUCUCAGGCCUCUCGACUAUACUCCAUCGGAUUUGGUAGUAAUUUUCCUAACCAGAUUCUAGAAGGGAAGUACACUCCUAUAUGUGCUUUUUCACAACGAGCAAAGGUUGCAAGGUGUGCUCUCAGCAACAACAGUUCGCUUUGAAAUUGGGCCUUUUUUUGUUGUCAUUCGGAAGUAGAGGGGUUAGGUCCUGAAAGUUACUUGCACGAAUCAACCCCGGCCACACACCAGUAUACUAGUACAUGACAGUGACAAAACCUGAUAAAUUCAGAGAAGCCAGUAGGUUUUCGAUUGCCAUGGUGGCCAUGGCCAUUGACGAUUGUGCCGAACAGAGUUGGUGUUUCUUGGUCACCAAAAAACACCUGCUGUUUUUUUGGAUCUGAUCUUGCAACCUUCAAGGAGAUCGCCAAGAAAAAUCAUGCUUCUGCGGAGUCUUGUUUAACUCUGCUCUUCCAUGCAUCAGUUCCCCCUUCGGUAGUUCCUUGCAUGGUAGAAAAUAAAAUCUCCAAGGGAAAAUAAGAGCAAACACAUGAGAGACACUUGCAGGAGCCUUACUACCGGCGGCUAUGAAGAAGCUGCUGAAUGAAGGGCGACGAGGGAGGCGUAGGCGCCAUCCUUGAUGUUCAUCAAGACAAACGGUGAGCAACGAUCACGGUUGUCCGGUUGACCAUCACUCUGUCCAGCGCGUCUUGAACCACCCUUUCGGAUUCAGCAUCCAGCGCACUGGUUGCUUCAUCCAGCAGAAGGAUCUUGGGAUCCUUCACAAUCGCACGAGCGAUCGCGAUACGCUGCUUUUGGCCUCCAGACAACUGAGCUCCCCGCUCUCCAACUGUUGUGCCAUAACCCUACAAAUUUUCAGGUAAAACAAAUCUUUGAGAAAAAUGUUUCUAGCAUUUAAUCACAAUAGCAAACACCAAUGAAAAGAAAGAAACCUAGAAAGAAACCUGAUGCGAGGAACUAAUGAACUUGUGGGCAUUUGCCAAUUUGGCUGCUUCAAUGAUUUCUGAUUCUGUUGCU